rnacentral:rRNA from 1 species
UGAGUUUGAUCCUGGCUCAGGACGAACGCUGGCGGCAUGCCUCACACAUGCAAGUCGAACGAACUUUUUUAGGAAGCUUGCUUUCUAAAAGAGUUAGUGGCGGACGGGUGAGUAACACGUGGGCAACCUGCCCUACAGAUCGGGAUACCAUCGGGAAACUGAUGUUAAUACCGGAUACGUUCUAGGAAUCACAUGAUACCUAGAAGAAAGAUUUUAUCGCUGUAGGAUGGGCCCGCGGUCCAUUAGCUAGUUGGUAGGGUAACGGCCUACCAAGGCGACGAUGGAUAGCUGGUCUGAGAGGACGAUCAGCCACACUGGGACUGAGACACGGCCCAGACUCCUACGGGAGGCAGCAGUGGGGAAUUUUGCGCAAUGGGGGCAACCCUGACGCAGCGACGCCGCGUGAGUGACGAAGGCCUUCGGGUUGUAAAACUCUGUCUAGGGGGAAGAUAGUGACGGUACCCCU